UACGUAGGGUGCGAGCGUUGUCCGGAAUUACUGGGCGUAAAGAGCUCGUAGGUGGUUUGUCGCGUUGUUCGUGAAAACUCACAGCUUAACUGGGGGCGUGCGGGCGAUACGGGCAGACUGGAGUACUGCAGGGGAGACUGGAAUUCCUGGUGUAGCGGUGGAAUGCGCAGAUAUCAGGAGGAACACCGGUGGCGAAGGCGGGUCUCUGGGCAGUAACUGACGCUGAGGAGCGAAAGCGUGGGGAGCGAACAGG
rnacentral:rRNA from 1 species